rnacentral:rRNA from 1 species
UACAGAGGUGCCAAGCGUUAGGCGGAAUCACUGGGCUUAAAGCGUGUGUAGGCGGAUUUUUAAGUGUCUUGUGAAAUCCCACGGCUCAACCGUGGAACUGCUCGAUAUACUGGAAGUCUUGAGCCACUUAGGGGCGACCGGAACAAAUGGUGGAGCGGUGAAAUGCGUAGAUAUCAUUUGGAACGCCAAUGGUGAAAACAGGUCGCUGGGAGUGUGCUGACGCUGAGACACGAAAGCUAGGGGAGCAAACGGG